GGUGGUUACCUUGUUCGCAGCAUCGUUUGCGGUUCCAAAUUGCAAGAGAAUAACCACAAUUAACAAAGGAUUUCGGUGCCGUUUGGAACAAAGAAUUGCAAUGGACUUCAGAAAAGCAACGACUUUUAUCAACUGAUAGUCUGGUUCUGCAGUUUAUAGUUUUGAAGAAGCCGCACAUCUGUCUAGGCAAGUGUUGGUUUUAAAAUGGCCAUCACACAUCUCUUGUUUCCCAUCAUUUUAUCUUUAGUAAAUUGGACUGCGGGGCAGCAUUGACUUUUGUUAACUGAUACUCUGGCUGUUUAUACUUUUAAAGAACCCAUCCCAGCUGUCAAAGCAUGUUUGGGUUAAAAAAUGGGCAACAUACAUCAAACACUAUCUCUUAUUUCCCAUCAUUUGUAUCGUUAUUAAAUUGUAAGUAUUCUAGUCAUACAUUGAGAUUAACAUGUCUGCACUUCUGCAAUUAUUUCUUGUUUAGUUUAACUUUCUGUUCCAGUGAGUUCAAGCAAGCAA